GCAAGUUUUUCCGUUGUCUACAAGCCCUGUUCUCAGAGGUUGCUCAUUGUACUUUAGGUGUGUGGAGAGAGCCGCGAGUGGAUCGCUCAAACAGAUGCAUUGCGAGUGCGGGCACGUUUGGAAAUGGACGGGUUGAAAGUAAAAAUUAGUCAGAUUACUGGGCCAAAGGCGCAGCUGCCAGACUCGGAGG